GCGCCCGUAGCUCAGUUGGAUAGAGCGCUUGCCUCCGGAGCAAGAGGCCGCAAGUUCGAAUCUUGCCGGGCGUACCA
rnacentral:tRNA from 1 species